rnacentral:rRNA from 1 species
GAUGAACGCUAGCGAUAGGCUUAACACAUGCAAGUCGAGGGGCAGCAUGGUCUUAGCUUGCUCAGACUGAUGGCGACCGGCGCACGGGUGCGUAACGCGUAUGCAACCUGCCUCACAGAGGGGGCUAACCCGUCGCAAGACGGACUAAUACCGCGUACACUCUAUUUUGGGCAUCCAAGGUAGAGGAAAUGAAAUUCGCUGUUAGAUAGGCAUGCGUCCCAUUAGCUAGUUGGUGAGGUAACGGCUCACCAAGGGGACGAUGUGUAGCGGAACUGAGAGGUGGCACCCCCACACUGGUACUGAGACCCGGACCAGAAUGCUACGGGGGGCAGGGGUAAGGAAUAUUGGGCAAGGGGGGAGAGCCUGACACAGCCAAGUCGCGUAAAGAGUGACUGGCUUAGGGAUUGUAAACUUCUUUUGAAGAGGAAUUAAGAGAGGCACGAGUGCCGCAGUGAAGGUACCCAACGAAUAAGCAUCGGCUAACUCCGUG